rnacentral:tRNA from 1 species
GGUCUGUUCACCUAGUUGGUUAGGGUACCGGUCUUUCGAACCGGGUGGAUGAGUUCGAUCCUCAUACAGACUACCA